rnacentral:rRNA from 1 species
UACAGAGGGGGCAAGCGUUGUUCGGAAUUACUGGGCGUAAAGGGCGCGUAGGCGGCCAACUCAGUCGGACGUGAAAUCCCCUGGCUCAACCAGGGAACUGCGUCCGAUACUGGCUGGCUUGAAUCCGGGAGAGGGAUGUGGAAUUCCAGGUGUAGCGGUGAAAUGCGUAGAUAUCUGGAGGAACACCGGUGGCGAAGGCGGCAUCCUGGACCGGUAUUGACGCUGAGGCGCGAAAGCUAGGGGAGCGAACAGG